AACCUCCGUUGGAGGCGAAAACCCCGACCGAACCACACAAACCGCGCACUGAAGGGGCGGGCGUUCUUCACCUGACCCACUCCCUGCAUUAAACAUCCAUUCCGUCCGUAACCCUGUAAAUCGCAAGAGGAAACUCGGACAAAACUGCAAAUAUAGAAAGCAACACAGAAAGAAAAAGAAGAAACAGAAGAGAGGGAAGACGCAGGGGAGGGCGGAGCCCGCCUGUCAACCUCCAGGGAGCUGAGGUUGGAGUGGAGCGGACCGGGAGGACCCCGCUCCAGAGCAGCGCCAACUCCCACCGCCGCUCCCUCCCCUCACCUCGAUCUCGCGGAUGUUGUUGGAGGUGACGAAGAUGCCGAUGCCAAUGGGGAUGAAGAUGAGGCCGAUGAUGAAGAAGUUUUCAUCUUACUGAAGAAUCAGACCAGGAUGUAACUCAGAGGAAAAGUAUCUCAUUUUGGCAGAUCUGCUGUACCACUUCUGCUUAUUCACAGUGAAAAACAUCAUAUUUUUAAGAAAACAUGAAAUGCAGAAGUGAAAACUAUCUUAAAGCAAAUAAUUUUAAAUAAAAAUAAGGCAUCUAUCAUCUGGAAAAUUUAUCCACUGUCUGCAGAAGAUACCUCAAAAAAUCUCUA